ensembl:lncRNA
GGGGCACGUUGUGGGAAGGCGGAGGUCGCGUUCCGUGCCGGGCCCGGCUUUGGGCCUGUGGAAAGGUGUUUUGAGAACGCGGGAGCCGCCGGGGUGGGUGGAAGGGCGACGGUAUUUCCGUCUGGGGGUCGGGGGCCUGACAGUGAAAGUGGAAUUUUUUGUAAAUUAGAGAAUGUGAAGAAAAUUAUGGUAUGCCCCUAUGGUGGAAUAUUACGGCUCUUAGAACAAAGCCUGACAAGCAAAAACACAGAAAUCGGUGUAUACAUGUAUGUUUAUAUUCUGUGUAGUAUUUAUAUAGAAGAUAUUUAGUGUAACAAUUAUAUGCUAAAUACGUCCGUAUAUUUAUAAAUUGUAUUUUAUUGUUUUAUAGAUAACGCGUAUAUUUCCACCAUUGUGUUAAAAAAAAUAAAAAGGCAAGAAAACACUGAAAUACCCGUAUGUGGGUAGUCACACUGAGAGGAAACACAACUGGUUCCAAGGGGAGGACGGAUGGGAAUGGAGGAGUUACUUUUCUCUGAAUUUUACAUGUGCAGUUUGAACUUUUUUGCAGUGUUCUGAAUUACCUAUUGAAAAAAUAGGUUUUUUAAGAAGUGUAUUUUGAGAGAGAGCGUGCACGAAUGGGAGAGGGACAGAGAGAGAAUCCCCAGCGGAUUCCACACUUGUCAGCGCAGAGCCAGAUGCUGGGCUUGAGAUCAUGACCUGAGCUGAAAUCAAGAGCGGGACACUUAACUGUCUGAGCCACCCUGCCACCCCGAAAAAAUAUAUUUAAAGGAAAAAGCAAAGUAGCUUUUUUGCUCAUUCCAUUAACCUUUAUUGAGUUCAUGUUCUGUUUCUGUAUUGCUAGGCACCGUAACUGAAGGCAGACCCUGUUCUAAAGGAGCACAGUUUUGGAAGAAGAGGAAGUGUCAGGAUCAAUUUCAAACUGAUCCAUCAUGACUAUGUCGACGCACUCAGAGACCUCAAGGAAUACGGAAGCCAUAGUCUGCGACCAAUGGAACCGUGUCACCUGGUUAACAAGCCUGAGCCGACGCUGGCAAAGAAGCCAGAAUUCCCAAGCUUUCCCAGGCGAGUGUGGAGAAACACCAGGACGCCUUUUUCUCCCCGCACCCCCCGCCCCGUCCCAUCUGCAGCCAAGUGUGCCUCGGUCAAAGGCAAACUCUGAAUUAAGCUUUGUGCUGGUCUCUGGAAGGAUACCCGGGAUCGUGUGACGGAGAAAAGUGACAGCGGCGGUGGUGGCAGUGACAUCUGUGGGGCUAGCCCCGUCCCUAUCUGCCGCGGGAUGCGUGUGGGCAUGCUUUGUGAGAAGAAUCCACCCCGGGUAGAAUGGGGCUUUUGACAUCAGCUGAGGCCUGGGCUGCCUCACAAUGAGGCCUGUUGGUCAAAGGGAGACUGUUUAAUGAAGUGCCCGCCAGAGGCCAGCUCCGGCCAUCUGUACUGGGGACCUUCGGAGCGAGCCUUCCCUGUAACCCGCUACAUGUGCGAAAGCACGUUGCCUUUCACAGAAGGCAGCUGCGACGAUAAAUUCAUAUUCCCAAACGGUGACCUUUUGACUGCUUUUUGUGUGUGCGUGAUGAAAAGCUUCAUACCAGCUUGAUACUAAGGCUUCAUAAGCAAGGAAGCCGGAAAAAGGAGCCUUUUUUGGCCCUGAGGUCAAUAAUGAUAACGGCUUUCUCCUUACACGAGGUAGCAACGCCCUGCCAAGGAUGCGAAAACACCGCGUGAAAAUGAAAUUCGUGAAAGCCCUUAAUGAUCAAGUGAGGGGGGCAGGUGAUGGCAACCGCCACCCCACGGCUGGUGAAACGCCGAGGUUCGGGGAGAAGGAUGACUCAUGACCAAGGUCAAAGAGCAGCUGGGCGGUGGGGCUCGCGUCACAUCAUGUCCUCCAGCCUCUGGCACUGAGGAAAUCACGUAAAACUUUGCGAUGACUUUUCCUGGCAGGCUCGUUCUUCCCAGCCGGAGCGCAGGUGGCAAUGUUGCGAUUCCUGGCGUAACCUUCAAUGCUUCGCUGAUAAUCUCUGUCGUCGCCAGGCACCAGCAGACUGUCACAGCGCAACUCCCAGGCUUCAGCGAUGCCCGCCGAGGUCUUCAUUGCAGCCUCUCAUUUAUUAGCUGUGUUGGAAAGAACUCUCUAAUACCUAGCUGGGUACCUCUGGAUUUUAACAGCUGUGGUUUAUAAGAGAUUUAGGGGGGGGUUGUUUUCAAAGUGCCUUUCAGAAAGUAUCACCUUAGACGGGAGUUUCCGUUCUGUUGCGGUAGGAUGACUUGCUCUUGUGCUCAGAAAACCAAGCCUGCAAGAAAAAUCAGAUAUUUUCUUACAAGACUUCUUAGCAGGCGGGCCUCUAUAUGACUUUCCCUUCUCCUCCCCUUUAUUGGCCAUAACCUUAACGGAAGGCUUUUGAUGUCAAAUGCUGAGUAUCUUGGAAGAGGUCCUGCGUAGACAAGACUGCUUGGCCAGGGGCUGGAGAGUCACAGUUGGACUGGACUUGAAGGCCCCUUCUAAUCUGAGAUGUUGUGACUCCGGAGCUAAUUAGCCUCAACUUCUACAAUGAAAUGACACUAACUGCCAUUUAUUGAGCACUUUCUGUGUCAGCUCUGUGCUGAGAUCUUAACAUCAUUCUCUGAAUUCUGACAAAACCCCGCCAAUAUCAUCCACCUUUUAUGAACGAAGAAACAGGGGUUUAGAGAAGUUAAAAGCUUGUCUGGUGGCACAGAUGUAAGGUUUGGUGAGCGACUGUCCCCUGGAAAUCGAUUCCAGGUGAGUCUACAUCCAUACUCG